UGGGGAAUAUUGGACAAUGGGCGAAAGCCUGAUCCAGCAAUGCCGCGUGAGUGAUGAAGGCCUUAGGGUUGUAAAGCUCUUUUACCCGGGAUGAUAAUGACAGUACCGGGAGAAUAAGCUCCGGCUAACUCCGUGCCAGCAGCCGCGGUAAUACGGAGGGAGCUAGCGUUGUUCGGAAUUACUGGGCGUAAAGCGCACGUAGGCGGUUACUUAAGUCAGGGGUGAAAUCCCGGGGCUCAACCCCGGAACUGCCCUUGAAACUGGGCAACUAGAAUCUUGGAGAGGUCAGUGGAAUUCCGAGUGUAGAGGUGAAAUUCGUAGAUAUUCGGAAGAACACCAGUGGCGAAGACGACUGACUGGACAAGUAUUGACGCUGAGGUGCGAAAGCGUGGGGAGCAAAC
rnacentral:rRNA from 1 species